rnacentral:rRNA from 1 species
CAGUAGCCACGGUAAUACGUAGGUGGCAAGCGUUGUCCGGAAUUAUUGGGCGUAAAGGGCUCGCAGGCGGUUUCUUAAGUCUGAUGUGAAAGCCCCCGGCUCAACCGGGGAGGGUCAUUGGAAACUGGGAAACUUGAGUGCAGAAGAGGAGAGUGGAAUUCCACGUGCAGCGGUGAAAUGCGUUGAGAUCGGAAAGAACACCAACGGCGAAAGCACUCUGCUGGGCCGACACUGACACUGAGAGACGAAAGCUAGGGGAGCAAAUGGGAUUAGAUACCCCUGUAGUCCCUGUCUCUUAUAC